rnacentral:rRNA from 1 species
GGUUCGACUCCGGAGAGGGAGCCUGAGAAAUGGCUACCACAUCCAAGGAUGGCAGCAGGCGCGCAAAUUACCCACUCUCAGUACGAGGAGGUAGUGACGAAAAAUAACAAUGCGGGACUCAUCAGAGGCCUCGCAAUUGGAAUGAGCGCACUUUAAAUCGUUCGACGAGGAUCUAUUGGAGGGCAAGUCUGGUGCCAGCAGCCGCGGUAAUUCCAGCUCCAAUAGCGUAUAUUAAAGUUGUUGCAGUUAAAAGCUCGUAGUUGGAUCUGGGGUUCGGGUCGGCGGUUUGCCGCUUCGGCGGCUACUGCCGUGCUCGACUCUUACUAGCCGGUGCGUCUUGCGGUGCUCUUCAUCGAGUGCCGUAGGAGCCUGGCAUGUUUACUUUGAAAAAAUUAGAGUGCUCAAAGCAGGCGAUUCCGCCUGAAUAGUGUUGCAUGGAAUAAUGGAAUAGGACCUCGGUUCUAUUUUGUUGGUUUUCGGAACUUGAGGUAAUGAUUAAGAGGGACGGUCGGGGGCAUUCGUAUUUCGGUGUUAGAGGUGAAAUUCUUGGAUCGCUGAAAGACGGACAAAUGCGAAAGCAUCUGCCAAGAACGUCUCCAUUAAUCAAGAACGAAAGUCAGAGGUUCGAAGACGAUCAGACACCGUCCUAGUUCUGACCAUAAACGAUGCCAACUAGCGAUCCGCAGUGGUUGCUAUGAACGGACUCUGCGAGCAGCUUCCGGGAAACCAAAGUGUUUGGGUUCCGGGGGAAGUAUGGUUGCAAAGCUGAAACUUAAAGGAAUUGACGGAAGGGCACCACCAGGAGUGGAGCCUGCGGCUUAAUUUGACUCAACACGGGGAAACUCACCCGGUCCGGACACUGUAAGGAUUGACAGAUCGAGAGCUCUUUCUUGAUUCGGUGGAUGGUGGUGCAUGGCCGUUCUUAGUUGGUGGAGUGAUUUGUCUGGUUAAUUCCGAUAACGAACGAGACUCUAGCCUGCUAACUAGUUGCGCCGUGUUCAUACGCGGCUGUAGACUUCUUAGAGGGACAGGUGGCGUUUAGCCACACGAAAUUGAGCAAUAACAGGUCUGUGAUGCCCUUAGAUGUCCGGGGCCGCACGCGCGCUACACUGAAGGAGUCAGCGUGUGCUAUCCGGGCUCGGAAGAGUUCGGUAACCCGUUGAAACUCCUUCGUGCUUGGGAUUGUGGCUUGUAAUUAUCGCGCAUGAACGAGGAAUUCCCAGUAAGUGCAAGUCAUCAGCUUGCGCUGACUACGUCCCUGCCCUUUGUACACACCGCCCGUCGCUACUACCGAUUGAAUGGUUUAGCAAGGUACUCGGAUUGGUCUCGAUCUUGUACGAAAGUGCGGGAUCUGUGGCCGAGAAGAAGGCCAAACUUGAUCAUUUAGAGGAAGUAAAAGUCGUAACAAGGUU